GUCAAACUUUUACAAUCAGGAGUUUAUUCAGCAAAUUAGCAUAUUAUAAAAACAAAAAUGGUGAAAUAUAUUAGUUAUUAGCCAAAAAUUUGCAACAUUUUUAAAAUAUUGACAUAUAAACAGGGAUUAGAUACCCCUUUAUACAAUACUCAAAAACAUUUGCGGAGUACUAAAACCAAUCAUGGUUAAAACUUAAAAAACAUGGCGGUAAUUUUAAUUUAGGGGAACUUACCUAGUAAUUGAUAACCACCAAGGUUAAGCUACCACUAUAAACUCUUGUAUGCCGUCGUCGUCAGGUAACACUUCAAGUCUUACCAUAUUGUUAUUCAACAAAAAGACAGAUCAAGGUGCAGACAAUAUAAUGGUUCUGGCGAGUUACAAUUUAAAUUAUUAACAAUAUCACAAAGUAUAUAUAUGUGCAAUUAAGAUGGACUUAAAAGUAAUUAAUAAUAAUAAUAAUCAAUGAAUCAUUGAAAUUGUGCACAA
rnacentral:rRNA from 1 species